AAAGACUAGAAAAUUUGCAGAGGAAGAAGCCGAAGCAAUCCCUCGCCGUCCGCCUCCUCCGCCGUUGCACGCCCGUCGCCGGAGCUAGAAGCCACCCCGCGCCGCCCACACGUUGCUCCACCGGUCAGCUCGCCUACCCGUCGCCUUCUCUCCUCCUUCUCCGGUGGCUGCUCGAUGCCCAGCAGAUCCGAGAAGGCGUCGAAGCUGGCUGCAGCCCAGCCGGAUAGCCGUUCGCCGCUUGCUCGUCGCUGCCAUGCGUCGUCGUCGCUGCCCGUCUGCUCGCGCUCGCCCGCGCUUGGCCGACGUCCAGCCGCUUCCGUCUGCCCUAUUCACGCAUUCCAGGGCUGCCGGAGUUCGUCCCCACCGGAGCCCGCCUAAGCUACUGCCGCCCAUCCCGGCCGUUCCUCCGCCGAACCAGCCCCGGAUCCGCCUCUUCUUGGCCUCAACCGGAAGUUGCAGAAAAUGGGUAUGGCAGCCCCUUCUUGGCCCGUUUUGGCCGCCUUCCCGAGCUCGGAUGCUCGGCCCAAUUUGAGGAAAGUCAAUCCACGCGUCGUCCCUGUCGUUUUGGUUCGCUCGGCUCGCUAAUCCGGUGAGUUUAACUCACUAAACCUCGCUUAGAGGGUUAAUUAUGCUUAGGGAGGUUUAGUUUAUGUUAAGUAUUAUUAGGUUGUUAGUUUAGGUUAAUUAAGAGUAGAUUUGAUUAAGGUUGUGGUUUAAUUUAAAGUGUGCUUACUUAAGGGUAAGUAGGUUUAUUUAAGAUAAGCCUUGAUUUGACAUAAAUGAAUUCACUUUUGAUUUAUUUAAAUGUCUCGAAAUUAUUAUAUAAUUUAAUAAUAUAUUUUAUUCGAAAUUAAUAAAAUAUUAUUAUUUAAUUAUUUUCGGAAUAAAUUUAAUUAUUUAUUAAAUUCCGAAAAUUUUGUCGGGACCCUAAAUUCUCAGAAUUUCGUGCCGGUCGCUGCUGUGUAGUUAGAUUUUGAAAUUGAUGAUUGGAUAUUAUAAAUCGAGUGUGGAUUGUGAAAGAUAGGGAUAUUAUUAUUUAAUUAAUUUUCGAAAUAAAUUUAAUUAUUAAAUAAAUUCAGAAAAUUAUUUUGGGACCCUAAAUUCUCAGAAUUUUGUGCUGAUCGCUGCUGUGUAUUCAGAUUGUGAAUUUGAUGAUUAGAUAUUACAAAUUGAGUGAUGAUUUGUGCAUUUGAUUAUUGAAUUGUUGUGUGCUGGUUGAAAGACACGGGUCGCAGUAGUGGCUAGGCCGACUGGAUCCUUAUUCUUCUAGAAAUGCCAUCAAUAGAAUGACGUGGCUUGGUUGCAGUAGUGGCUAGGCCGACUGGAUCCUUAUUCUUCUAGAAAUGCCGUUGAUAGAAUGACGUGGCUUGGUCGCAGUAGUGGCGAGACCGACUGGACCUUUAUUCUUCUAGAAAUGCUGUCAAGAGAAUGACGUGGCUUGGUCGCAGUAGUGGCGAGACCGACUGGACCUUUAUUCUUCUAGAAAUGCUAUCAAGAGAAUGAUGUGGCUUGGUCGCAGUAGUGGCGAGACCGACUGGACCUUUAUUUUUCUAGAAAUACCGUAAUGUUAGUAGAUAGCCGACCUGCGAGUAGGCUAUGCCCUUGUGUGGCAGUGAAUGAUAAUUGGAAUGCGUGCUAAGUGCGAUUAUGAUUUAUAUGAGAGUGAUGGUUUUCCAAUUGUUUGAAUUAUUAUCAUUACCUGAGAUUGUGUAAUACGAACUGUGCUAACUUGCAGGAAUGAAUUGAGGCGAGGUAAGUUCUCUGUGUGAUGUAGCUAGGCCACCCUUGGGCGUAUUUUCUUUCUAAUAGGGGUUUAGGGGGUUGAACUUGCUGAGACAUCGUCUCAUCUCGGUUGUGGGAUUAAAAUUUCAGGUCCCUAGUGGACGGAGCGACCAGAUAGCUUUGGUUGGCCUUGAGGAGUUGCAGAGGUGAAGUCAUAAGAUUGGAGAACGUGUCUGACUUGUAGGUCGUAGGACAAUUCAUUUUUCAGAGCCGGUCUUUUGUAGACUUUUGGCCGUAGACCUCUGUUUAUAAUUCUGUUGAAUUAUGGAAGUGUUAUGUUGUGGUUUUGUUUCCUGCUUUUCUAUCCCGUAUUUUGUUGUCAGGGGAUUUGUUUUGCUUUCGCAUGCGUAAAAG
rnacentral:lncRNA from 1 species